UCAAUCUGAGGCUGCAAAUGA
ensembl:piRNA 21ur-516 ncRNA